CAGGAGAGUAAUUUACUCUAUGAGCCUUUUACUUUAGGCCAGAAGGUACACUUGUAAUAGCUGCUUAAUCUUAACCUCAGGAUUUUACAGCUCAUGAACUUUUGUAUUGACAUUAAUGAACAACCUAGGAAAGGUAAAAUACUGAUCAACAGAGACAUCUUAGUUUCCAUAGAAAAUUAAUAAGGAUAGUUCUCUGGAUGAGAAUUUAUUGUGAGUGCCUUGAGAAUGAACUGCUGUAAUGAAUGUAAAGACAGCAUGUCAAAUGGAAGAAAAUAUUUGCAAACUAUUCAUCUAACAAGGGACUAAUAUCCAGAAUACACAAGGAAUUCAAACAACUCAAAAGUAAGGAAGAUAAUAAUAAUCCCAUUAGAAAGUGGGCAAAGAACGUGAAUAGACAUUUCUCAAAAGAAGACAUACAAGUGGCCAACAGGUAUAUGAAAAAUGCUCAACAUACCUAAUCUUCAAGGAAAUGAAAAUCAAAACAGAAAGAGAUAUCAUCUUACCCCAGUAAGAAUGGCUAUUACUAAAAAGACAAAAACAGUGCUGAAAAUUUUCAUGGAGAUGGAGCAAGAUAGCCAAAUAGAAGACUCCAGCAAUCAUCCUCCCAAAAGGCACAUCAAAUUGAACAGCUAUCCACACAUAAAAGUGCCUUCAUAUGAACCAAAAAUCAGGAAAGAGAACAAGCACUGAAAAAAAAACCAACAGAAUAUCUGAAGACUGUGGGACAACUGCAAAAUCUCUAACAUCUCUCUAAUGAAAAUUCCAUAAGGAGAAAAGAAACGAUAGGAACAGAAGAAAUAUUUGAAACAAUAAUGACUGAGAUUUUCCCCAAAUGAAUGUAAGACAGCAAACCAGAGAUCCAAGAAGCUCAGAAAACACAAAGCAAAAUAAAUAUAAAACAAAACAAAAACUCCAAAUGAUGCCUAGGCAUAUCAUUUUUAAACUAUAAAAAAACAAACAAGAAGAAAAAAUCCUGAGAGCAGUCAGAGGAUAGAGACACUUUACCUCUAAAACAAUAAUUACAUCUGACUUCCCUUGCACUUUUCAGUGCAAGCAAGAAAAGAAUGGAUUGAAAUAGUUAAACUGUUGAUAGAAAAGAAACACCAACCUAGAAUUCUGUACCAUAAAAAUUAUCUUUCCAAAGUGAAAGAAAAAUAAAGACUUCCUCAGACAAAUAAUAAUUGAUGAAAUUUGUUGCCAGUAGCUGCCUUGUAAUAAAUAGUAAAGAAAUUUCUUUAGAAAGAAGGAAAAUUUUAUAGGUUAGAAACCUGAAUGAAGAAAGAACAUCAAAGAAGGAAUAAAUGAAGUAAAAUUAAAACUUAUUUUUCUUACUCUUAAUCUAACAAAUAAAAUUUUGUUCAAAAUAAUAAUGGCAAUAAAUUCAAUUAUAUAUUCUAUUAUGUAUGUUGAUAUAUACAUAAUUGAUAUGGUUUGACCCUGUGCCCCUACCCAAAUUUGACCUUGAAUUGAAGUAAUCCCCUUAUGUCAAGGGCAGGACCAGGUGGAGAUAAUUGAAUCACAGUGGCGUUUUCCCCCAUACUGUCCUCAUGAUAGUGAGUUCUCAUGACGUCUGUUGGUUUUAUAAGGGGCUUUCUCCCCAUUCACUCUGCACUUCUCCUUGCUGCUGCCAUGUGAAGAAGGAUGUGUUUGCUUCCACUUUUGCCAUGAUUGUAAGUUUCCUGAGGCUUCCCCAGAUAUGCUGAACAUGAAUCAAUUAAACCUUUUCUCUUUAUAAACUAACACAGUCUCAGAUAUGUCUUUAUUAGCAGUGAGAAUGUACUAAUACAAUAAUCAAGUAUAUUGUACUUAUAUAUGUUUAUGUGUAUGUGUAUAUAUACACAAAUGAAAUAAAUGACCACAAUGAUACAAGGGAUGGGGAGGAAUCAGGAUUAUUUUGUUAUUAGAAGGUGCUCACAUUACACAUAAAGUGUUUUAAUGUUAUUUAAAAGUGGAUUUGGGUUCCUUACAAAUGCCUAUGACAAACUCCACAGCAACCACCAUAAAAGCUAAAGAACAGGAUGCAUAACUGAUAUGCUAAGAGACAGAGAAAAUCGAAUUAUAUCAAGUGUUCAACUGAAUACCACAAAGCACAGAAAAAGAGUGGAAAACAAAAACAGACAAAAAGAACAAGGGAAACAAAUAGAAAAAGUAACAAAUAUGGAAGUUGUUAACCUAAACAUAUCAAUAAUCACUUUGAACACGUUAAACAACAGAGGUUGUCAGAGAGGGUCAAAAAAUGAGACCCAGUUAUAUAUAUUCUACAAGAAACCCACUGUAAAUAUAAAG
rnacentral:lncRNA from 10 species